CCAGGAAGGAAGGGAGCAUUUAUUUCAUCCUAUUCCUUUACGUAAUCCAAACAUAUAAAUAGAUGGAGAGAGAAGCCUCUUCCUCUCUUCUCUUCUGGCGAGUUUUGGGAACAGUAAGUCCCUGUCUCGGCCUUACUUAUCUGGAGCUGAGGCCUACAGUGACUGCUGUUGUCUACCACGCACAAGGGAAGAGUGCUGGGCCGCGUCCAGCCAUCCUGCUUUUCUGAAGGGAAGUGGAGCUGGGCAACGACAUGACUUGGAAGACACCGGUCUGUCAGCAUUUAGGGAAGGAAAAAGAAGCACUGUUGGUAGCUCAUGUGCACAAGAAAAGCUUCACAUUUACGUAACACUCUGUGACAGCUUCUUCAGAAGUCCUUCAGAAGUGACAUAUAUUUUCGUGAUGUGGCUGAUGCAAGAAGGAAGUAAUCAUGGGUGUUCAGAAAGCACAGUAAGCUGCAGCAGUGACUCUGCACAACAAACCUGAGGAUUCCCACUUCCAGAUGAAGUGGGUUGGAGGCUGGGAGGAGGAGCAGGCUGCCCUUCCCUGCCCAUGAUUCCAGAAGCAAAGACUGUCUGGGGAUUGUUACUCUGCUGCUUUGCCUUUCACUGAGUGAUAGGCACUGUCUCCUGCUUGUACAGUGCCAGGUUUGCCCUCUGAAGGGGAUGGAUCACAUCUCAUUUUAACAUCUCAUUUUUUUUGACUACUUAUACGAAUCUGCACAAUGAAUACUUCAGAGGAAAACCCACUACAGGUAAACAAAGAGCAGAAAAAAACUAAAAAUGCCUAAAACCAGGAAAAGAAUCCCUUUGAAAACCAGCACUUUUUUUGUUGUUAUUUUUGUAAAUCCCUUCAAUACACUUAUCAUCCAAAUAAAGUAGUAGAAGGCCUUUGAUUCCAAUUUCUUUGUCUGGUACUUGUAUUUAAUUUCAAAUCUAUUUCCUGCUCAGGGAGCUCACAUGAACUCUGUUUAAAUUGGGAAUUUCUUAGAAGGUGUGUGGGGGGGAAAAGUUUUCCCACUAGAGUUAAAAUAAUGGUAACCCCCAGGGGUGGUGACCCUUGGGAUUGAGCCAAUGAGCGCUCCUGCAAAAUAUAAAAAUAUCAACAAUCAGACUGGAAAAGAAGGGUAGUUGUUGUAGUUGUUGGAGGAGAGUGGCCAUGUUCUAAACCAUGAGGAAGGGGCCCGGAGCCCCGUUGGGGGCUAGGCUCCCCCCCCCCAGCCCCCAGCUGGGGGGCUGCAGGA